AUUGAACGCUGGCGGCAGGCCUAACACAUGCAAGUCGAGCGGAUGAGUGGAGCUUGCUCCAUGAUUCAGCGGCGGACGGGUGAGUAAUGCCUAGGAAUCUGCCUGGUAGUGGGGGACAACGUUUCGAAAGGAACGCUAAUACCGCAUACGUCCUACGGGAGAAAGCAGGGGACCUUCGGGCCUUGCGCUAUCAGAUGAGCCUAGGUCGGAUUAGCUAGUAGGUGAGGUAAUGGCUCACCUAGGCGACGAUCCGUAACUGGUCUGAGAGGAUGAUCAGUCACACUGGAACUGAGACACGGUCCAGACUCCUACGGGAGUCAGCAGUGGGGAAUAUUGGACAAUGGGCGAAAGCCUGAUCCAGCCAUGCCGCGUGUGUGAAGAAGGUCUUCGGAUUGUAAAGCACUUUAAGUUGGGAGGAGGGGCAGUAAGUUAAUACCUUGCUGUUUUGACGUUACCAACAGAAUAAGCACCGGCUAACUUCGUGCCAGCCGCCGCCGUAAAAC
rnacentral:rRNA from 1 species